rnacentral:snRNA from 1 species
GUACAAGUAAUUAUAUUG